UACGAAGGGGGCUAGCGUUGCUCGGAAUCACUGGGCGUAAAGCGCACGUAGGCGGUCUUUUAAGUCAGGGGUGAAAUCCUGGAGCUCAACUCCAGAACUGCCUUUGAUACUGGGAGACUUCGAGUCCGGGAGAGGUGAGUGGAACUGCGAGUGUAGAGGUGAAAUUCGUAGAUAUUCGCAAGAACACCAGUGGCGAAGGCGGCUCACUGGCCCGGUACUGACGCUGAGGUGCGAAAGCGUGGGGAGCAAACAGG
rnacentral:rRNA from 1 species